GAUGAAGAACGCAGCGAAAUGCGAUAAGUAAUGUGAAUUGCAGAAUUCAGUGAAUCAUCGAAUCUUUGAACGCACAUUGCGCCCGUCAGUAUUCUGGCGGGCAUGCCUGUUCGAGCGUCAUUACGCCCCUCAAGUCCCCUGUGGACUUGGUGUUGGGGAUCGGCGAGGCUGGUUUUCCAGCACAGCCGUCCCUUAAAUUAAUUGGCGGUCUCGCCGUGGCCCUCCUCUGCGCAGUAGUAAAACACUCGCAACAGGAGCCCGGCGCGGUCCACUGCCGUAAAACCCCCCAACUUUUUAUAGUUGACCUCGAAUCAGGUAGGACUACCCGCGGAACUUAAGCAUAUCAAUAAGCGGAGGA
rnacentral:misc_RNA from 1 species